ACAAUUGAAAUGCAAAAAAAUAAAUAAAUAAAGUGAAAUACAAAUAAAAUAUGAGUAAAUGAAUGAGUAAAAUAUAUAUAUAUAUAUAUUUUUUUUAAAUUACAGUAUUUUGUUUAGCUAGUUGCAAUAAAACAGCAUUUACAUGAUUAUUUGUAGAUUUCUGAAUGUAAUUCAUCUUGUAGGUAAAUAGAUUUGACCCAAAUAGUUGUUUUUAAGGUCAUGAUUAAACACUAUUCCAGAUCUUUUUCCCUGUACGCUUUCCUGUAAAGCCUUGAGACAAUUAGAUUUAAUUGAUGGCAUUUCAUAGGAUUUGGAAAAACCUGAAAAACCUUCCCAAGAAUUGAUUUCUAUAAAUUCAGAAAUCCGUUCGUCCGUGCCAGACACAAAUAUGAGCACAAGUCAGGGUGGAAAGUUUCAUGUAAAAUGUGGAUUGAUGCCCUGAUAUGAUUAUAUGCAUGAUAAGGGUGUUUGAGAUGGAGUUGCUCUUUAGCUAAUAAAUGUUGUAAUCUUCUGUAAUCUCCCGAAGCCUUUCGCAGCAGCUCACCGAUGCUUUAGUCACACAUGAUUCUGCUUUUAUCUCACAUUAGUUCCUGAAGGCCAUGCGAUGAAGAGGUCAUAUAUCCUGAAGGGAGAAACUGAAAACCUGCAGACUCCCUGAAAAAUCAGUCUUCACCUCACCGCUGCUGUCAUCCGUGUCCUUCUGAACCUCUGACCUCUCCGAGGUCAGUCACAAAUAAGUGAAACUCCUGGCUGGUGUUUUCUUAUCCUCCCAACACAGAAGAAGGCGAAGCACUCCAUAUGACAGGCUUUUGGUUUGUUCCUGUUUGUACAGUGGGGAAAAGCAAGUACAGCACCCAGAGAUGCAGAAGAGGAAAUGGAAAGAGCAGAACCAGUGUCAUCAGAAGUACAGGAGUGAGUGAGAUCUGAAUCAACACACACACACACACCGGUAGGAUCUCUUGCGUUCGCUAGGAGUGUGUUGAUUAAGGCAUGUGUAAAACUCCAUCACUAAGACUAGAAUGACUGCAGUCUGUAAAGAGUGAAGCAGAAUUCAGAAUAGAAGUGGAACUGAGUUGCAAACAGGACGCAGAAUUGACAUAUAAAAGUAAAUAAUGCACUUCAUUUUUCAAUAUGAAUUACCCAUACACAUUUUAUAUUAUAGAAAAUGUAUACAACAAAAGUAUAUUUCGGAUGUAUUAAUAAAAUGUGAAAGUAGAAUGGUGUGAGCUACA
ensembl:lncRNA